rnacentral:rRNA from 1 species
CUACGGGUUGCAGCAGUGGGGAAUAUUGGACAAUGGGGGAAACCCUGAUCCAGCAAUGCCGCGUGUGUGAAGAAGGCCUGCGGGUUGUAAAGCACUUUCGGUUGGGAGGACUGCUUCUAGCACUAAUAUUGUUGGAAGUUGACGUUACCUUCAGAAGAAGCACCGGCUAACUCCGUGCCAGCGGCCGCGGGAAUACGGAGGGUGCAAGCGUUAAUCGGAAUUACUGGGCGUAAAGCGCGCGUAGGCGGCUAGAUCAGUCGGGUGUGAAAGCCCCGGGCUUAACCUGGGAACUGCAUCCGAUACUGUCUAGCUUGAGUACAGGAGAGGAGAGUGGAAUUCCACAUGUAGCGGUGAAAUGCGUAGAUAUGUGGAGGAACACCAAUGGCGAAGGCAGCUCUCUGGCCUGAUACUGACGCUGAGGUGCGAAAGCGUGGGGAGCAAACAGGAUUAGAUACCCGGGUAGUC